rnacentral:lncRNA from 1 species
GAGACCACAGAUGUCACAGGAGGCCCAGGAGCUAGUCCGGGUGAAUGUGUACAGAAACCAUGUAGCUUCACAGACUCCCCUUGGAACUCUACACUCUCCCUGUGCCCACGCCCAGCGCCUUAGCUGAAGUGUCCAGCGGUGGAAGCCAGUGAAGUGUUAGAUUCGGACCGAGGAGCUGGAGGAUCACCUUCUCUAUACUGAGAGACUGAACUAUCCCAGGGACAGAGCCAAAGGCCAAGGAAAUCAAAUGCCCUGCCUCAUAAGAAGCUCUGGAUAAUGGGGAAGACCGACAGCAGAGACAAUCCAUCCUAACUGAGCACAUGGCAGCAGAGUUUCCUCGCAGAAUCCUCUUUCUAAAGAACAGUUCUUCAGUAUAGGAACAAGCAAUACGUCCUGUUUAUUCUGUCAACCGUGAUGGACUUUGCUCUUGCUUUCCCCUUUGGCCUGGUGGGAAAAGCUGCUGGGGAAUUUGGGUGCACAAGUCUUUUCCUUUUGCAAGUGAAAAAACAUACAAUUAUGUUUCCAUAGACCCCUGAAGAGGCAAAAUAGGAAGCUGUGAGAAGAGUGUUGGGAGAGGAUUCCCCACGGGAAGCAACACAGAGGAUGAGAAAUGAGCUAGGUUAAAUGUAGGAAGAUGUGUUUCAGCCCCACGGGACUGACAGCCUUGUGGCUGGCUCUAGGAACCCUGGGUAAUUUCAGGAAUGGGAAUGGGCUGGUAUGACUAAGGCAUAGAGAGGAAGGAAGGAAGAGAAGGACACAGGUGGGCUUGCAGGGUGAGCUGCACGCCUACCGAUGGCUUCUGGUAGACUGGUGACAAAUGGGCUUUCCCCUAAGAGUUAUGGUAAGCAAUUAAAGAGUUCUAGGAAGAAAAGCAAAUACCCAAAUAUAGAGAAUAUAGAGGUGUGUGUGUGUGUGUGUGUGUGUGUGUGUGUGUGAGAGAGAGAGAGAGAGAGAGAGAGAGAGAGACAGAGAGACAGAGAGACGGAGACAGAGAGACACACAGAGAGAUAGAGAAAAAGAGAGACAGAAAGAGAGCUGGGGGGGGGGAGAGAGUUAAAUAGAAUUAACUGUGUGAGUAUUCAUAUGAGCAUGCGUGGGAGGUAUGCAGACGUGUGGAGGCCAGAGGUUGAUGUCAAG